CCUACGGGCGGCAGCAGUGAGGAAUAUUGGUCAAUGGACGAGAGUCUGAACCAGCCAAGUAGCGUGAAGGAUGACUGCCCUAUGGGUUGUAAACUUCUUGUAUAGGGGAAUAAAAUGUUCCACGUGUGGGAUUUUGUAUGUACCAUAUGAAUAAGGAUCGGCUAACGCCGUGCCAGCAGCCGCGGUAAUACGGAGGAUCCGAGCGUUAUCCGGAUUUAUUGGGGUGAAAGGGAGCGUAGGGGGCUUGUUAAGUCAGUUUUGAAAGUUUGCGGCUCAACCGUAAAAUUGCAGUUGAAACUGGCAGUCUUGCGUACAGUAGCGGUGGGCGGACUUCG
rnacentral:rRNA from 1 species